rnacentral:rRNA from 1 species
UGGGGAAUAUUGGACAAUGGACCGAGAGUCUGAUCCAGCAAUUCUGUGUGCACGAUGAAGUUUUUCGGAAUGUAAAGUGCUUUCAGUUGGGAAGAAAAAAAUGACGGUACCAACAGAAGAAGUGACGGCUAAAUACGUGCCAGCAGCCGCGGUAAUACGUAUGUCACGAGCGUUAUCCGGAUUUAUUGGGCGUAAAGCGCGUCUAGGUGGUUAUAUAAGUCUGAUGUGAAAAUGCAGGGCUCAACUCUGUAUUGCGUUGGAAACUGUAUAACUAGAGUACUGGAGAGGUAAGCGGAACUACAAGUGUAGAGGUGAAAUUCGUAGAUAUUUGUAGGAAUGCCGAUGGGGAAGCCAGCUUACUGGACAGAUACUGACGCUGAAGCGCGAAAGCGUGGGUAGCAAACAGGAUUAGAUACCCUGGUAGUCCACGCCGUAAACGAUGAUUACUAGGUGUUGGGGGUCGAACCUCAGCGCCCAAGCAAACGCGAUAAGUAAUCCGCCUGGGGAGUACGUACGCAAGUAUG